AUUGAACGCUGGCGGCAGGCCUAACACAUGCAAGUCGAACGAGUGGCGGACGGGUGAGUAAUGUCUGGGACACUUCCUGAUGGAGGGGGAUAACUACUGGAAACGGUAGCUAAUACCGCAUACCAUCGGAUGUGCCCAGAUGGGAGUAGCUAGUAGGUGGGGUAAAGGCUCACCUAGGCGACGAUCCCUAGCUGGUCUGAGAGGAUGACCAGCUAGCAUGGAACUGAGACACGGUCCAGACUCCUAGGGGAGGCAGCAGUGGGGAAGAGUGCACAAUGGUCGCAAGCCUGAGGCAGCCAUGCCGCGUGUAGGAAGAAGGCCGUCGGGUUGUAAAGUACUUUCAGCGGGGAGGCUUUACCCGCAGAAGAAGCACCGGCUAACUCCGUUCCAGCAGCCGCGGUAAUAC
rnacentral:rRNA from 1 species